CCUGCCCAGCAGAGCGACCCGUGAACAUGUUCAACCUCAUGGGUGCUGGGGCGUGGCUCGGUGCCUCGUGUGUCGGCUCGCCCCUCUCCCAGGCAGGGGAGCGCCCACUUGUGGGCUGUUUCCCGGCUAACCAACGAACCCCGGCGCGUAAAUGCGUCAAGGAAUAUAAACUUUAUGUGUGUGCUCUCCUAUCGCCCGGUUAGCCGGGCGUUGGAGUGGUGCCAUGUCUUAACAAUAAACGACUCUCGGCAACGGAUAUCUCGGCUCUCGCAUCGAUGAAGAACGUAGCGAAAUGCGAUACUUGGUGUGAAUUGCAGAAUCCCGUGAACCAUCGAGUUUUUGAACGCAAGUUGCGCCCGAAGCCUCCGGCUGAGGGCACGUCUGCCUGGGCGUCACGCAUCGCGUCUCCCCCACAUUCCACCUUGGUGGAGGGGAAGGAGGAUGGUUUCCCGCGACUCACCGGUCGCGGCUGGCCUAAAUUUGGAGCCCACGGCAUCGGGAUGCCGCGGCGAUAGGUGGUGAACAAGGCCUCGGCCAAGCAAGCAACCCGUCGCGCAUGCCGUGCCAAUGCGGGCUCGAAGGACCCUUUGUCGUUGUCUUUGAGGCAACCAAACCGUUGCGACCCCAGGUCAGGCGGGGCUACCCGCUGAAUUUAAGCAUAUCAAUAAGCGGAGGAAAAG
rnacentral:rRNA from 1 species